rnacentral:lncRNA from 1 species
UACAAAUAUCACAAUCCCUUGGUCCUUAAUCAACAGCUAGUUCAUGACUUCAUGGUUUUUCUAUGAAACUGUACCUACAAUAUGUAAUCUGUAGUAGAAGGGCAAUAAUAUAGAUAAGGACAAAUGUACUUAAGUAUUUCUUUAUAUAUUGUCAAUUAAAAUUAGAAUUUAUUUCUGUAACUCACCUAAUAAAUAUCGAUAUUAAAAGUCAAUAUAAUUAAUUACCAAAAUAAAAACCUAAUUUUAAUCACAAAACAAUAACAAAAUUACUUAAAAUCCUAUACAUUUGUUAUAUACAUACAUAAUUGAAAAAAGUCAUGAUCAACCGAAUCGAGCAUGCAAUCCAAGGUAGCUAAAUUUCAAAAGACAUAUUUGAAAGCUGGCCAAAGAGGCAUGAUCUGUAGACUAUCGCAACCCAUGACAAUCACACACUAGCUUGGACUGAUGAUUGAUAUUAAUUUGAAAAUGUUAUAAACCAGAAAGCUAUGCAUGGCAUCUAUACCUCUCUUUCUUAUUAAAACAACCCAAAGAUGGGAGAUUUGUUUUAGUAAGUUAAUUAAUCAAAGCAAUAUACCAUCUGAGAAAAGCAUCCUUAAUUAGAAUUCUUAAAUUCGUAGCAUGUAGCUUUUUAAAUAUCUUCUACGAUCAGUUAUCCGGAUUUAAAUACGUAAAACACAAAACUUAGCUUGGUAGCUCCAUUGUACUUCCUCUAUUUCUACUUAUAAGAUCAUUUUAAUUAAUUUAUAUCACUAAAGAAAAAUAAUUUAGUUUAUCAUAUUAAAUUUAUUAAUUAUUUAUAUUAUCAUUCUAAUUUUUUUUAUAUUUCUCUAUCCACUUAAUUGUUUCUGAUUAAUAUAUGAAGAAAAAAUAAUUAAGUAAGAGUAUAUAGGAAAAAAAUAAUUACUAUAUUUAGAAAUUAAAAAAAGUUUUAUAAAAUUUUAAAAAAUAAUCUUAUAAUUAGGAAGAAAAGGAAGAGAGUAUGAUUUUAAACUGUUCUAGUAAUUAGUGGGAUGAAAGAUGAACAUAUAUUCAUCAAAAGAAAAUUUAGCAAUUGAAAUCAUUAAGAAAUAAAGAAUUAGGAUUCGGGAUAGUUGUUUUGUGUGCAUACAUAUCACUUACUGUAUAUCUAGCUAUUUGCAUGUUUUGCUCGAUAAUUAAUUAUCAAGGAAAACUAGGUUCGGUGUGACCAUUGAUUAAUUUUACAAAAAGAAAUGACAUGUGAACUUCCUGAAAAAAGAAAUAAAUAAAUGGAGCCCUACAUCAAGAAAUCACACAGAUAGCAUGAUGAUGACUGGGGUCAUGAACAUUAAAGUCUCUAACCUAUAGUACACAAAAUAACGUAGUUUUGAACAAUCCAACUGUGUUAUUCUCAUGAAGAACAACAUUUAUUAACAUACAUAUAUAUGGAAAUCCAGAUCUAUACUUCCAACUGUAUUCAGAAACAUAAAUUGAAGCAAUAACAAAGCUCAAUCUCCAACUCACAUAUACAAGUAAAAGAAGGCACAAAGUGACAGUGCUCACUUCUCAACAACACAACAACAAAAGAAAAAAAGAGACUAGUUUUGUUUUUCAUCAUCAUGUUAUUAUAUCUAAAACACCAAGCUCGAAAACCACGUACUAUAUAUUCAAAUCCAUAUAUGUAAAUUUUAAUCACGUAAUUAAAUCAAACCAAAACUGAAAAAAAGUGAAAAGAUAAAGAAAGUAAGAGAUUAAACCCAUAUAUAUAUAUAGAGAGAGAGAGAUAGAGAGAGAGAGAGAAAGGUGCAAGGUGAAGAUAUAUAAACCAGUAUACAGGUUAAUUUGCUUGAUCUAGCAAACAAUCGGACCACAACGCUUCAAUUCCCCGAGAAGAGAGAAGAAAGUAGCAUGCAUGAGACUCUUGGAAGAAGAAGAUCAUAUCACCCUUUGAAUAAGAAGUAGUAAUAGAUAGGAAUUAACGGAAGCGGGUAAUAGGGUUUCUUCUUCUUGAGUGAAGCCAUGCUUCUUCGCCUUCUAACCCUUCUCUUUCUCCUUGCUUCUCUUUCUUCUUCUUCUUCUUCUUCUUCUUCUUCUUGUGGUGGUGAUGUUAGAGGCAGAGGAGGAUGAUGGCUUUGGUGCGGUUGGUGGGAGGUAAAAGAUGCGGUGGGGAUGAUGAAAGCGAGGGUCUAAUAAUGAGGGGAAGAAGAGAGGAGAGGACAUGAUGAUUACUAAGAGUUGUGUGUUUUUGCGUUGAAGGAAGAGAAAAUAAAAAUCCUAAAGUGUUGGGGUAUGCUAGAUACAUACCCUAAAUUCAGAGAGAGAGAAAUAUAUAGAUGGUGGUAUUUUGUUUAUUUCUUUUUACUUCUUUCACAUGGAGCUAAAACUUUUUUUUUAUGACCAACAUCUCUUGUUGGAGAAUUAAAAACUAAUAUUUUG